rnacentral:rRNA from 1 species
AACGAACGCUGGCGGCAGGCUUAACACAUGCAAGUCGAACGCCCCGCAAGGGGAGUGGCAGACGGGUGAGUAACGCGUGGGAAUCUACCCAUCUCUGCGGAAUAGCUCUGGGAAACUGGAAUUAAUACCGCAUACGCCCUACGGGGGAAAGAUUUAUCGGGGAUGGAUGAGCCCGCGUUGGAUUAGCUAGUUGGUGGGGUAAAGGCCUACCAAGGCGACGAUCCAUAGCUGGUCUGAGAGGAUGAUCAGCCACAUUGGGACUGAGACACGGCCCAAACUCCUACGGGAGGCAGCAGUGGGGAAUAUUGGACAAUGGGCGCAAGCCUGAUCCAGCCAUGCCGCGUGAGUGAUGAAGGCCUUAGGGUUGUAAAGCUCUUUCACCGAUGAAGAUAAU